rnacentral:rRNA from 1 species
UUGUUGGUAAGGUAAAAGCUUACCAAGGCUUCGAUCAGUAGCUGGUCUGAGAGGACGACCAGCCACACUGGGACUGAGACACGGCCCAGACUCCUACGGGAGGCAGCAGUGGGGAAUUUUGGACAAUGGGGGCAACCCUGAUCCAGCCAUGCCGCGUGAGUGAAGAAGGCCUUCGGGUUGUAAAGCUCUUUCAGCCGGAACGAAACGGUUACGGAUAACACCCGUGACUACUGACGGUACCGGAAGAAGAAGCACCGGCUAACUACGUGCCAGCAGCCGCGGUAAUACGUAGGGUGCGAGCGUUAAUCGGAAUUACUGGGCGUAAAGCGUGCGCAGGUGGUUUUGUAAGUCAGAUGUGAAAGCCCCGGGCUCAACCUGGGAACUGCGUUUGAAACUACAAGACUAGAGUGUGGCAGAGGGGGGCGGAAUUCCGCGUGUAGCAGUGAAAUGCGUAGAGAUGUGGAGGAACACCGAUGGCGAAGGCAGCCCCCUGGGUCAACACUGACGCUCAGGCACGAAAGCAUGGGGAGCAAACAGGAUUAGAUACCCUGGUAGCCCAUGCCCUAAACGAUGUCAACUAGUUGUCGGGCCUUUACGGGCUUGGUAACGUAGCUAACGCGUGAAGUUGACCGCCUGGGGAGUACGAUCGCAAGAUUAAAACUCAAAUGAAUUGACGGGGACCCGCACAAGCGGUGGAUUAUGUGGAUUAAUUCGAUGCAACGCGAAAAACCUUACCUACCCUUGACAUGUAUCGAAGCCCGCAGAAAAGCGGGGGUGCCCGAAAGGGAACGAUAACACAGGUGCUGCAUGGCUGUCGUCAGCUCGUGUCGUGAGAUGUUGGGUUAAGUCCCGCAACGAGCGCAACCCUUGUCAUUAAUUGCCAUCAUUUAGUUGGGCACUUUAAUGAGACUGCCGG